AUGUGGGAGGAAUGCUUGCCUCAUAUUGAAUUUGCUUAUAAUCGUUCAUUGCAUUCUACUACUAAGAUGUGCCCUUUUGAAGUUGUGUAUGGUUUCCUACCUCGUGCACCUAUUGAUUUGUUGCCUCUUCCAUCUUCGGAGAAGGUUAAUUUUGAUGCUAAACAACGUGCUGAAUUGAUUUUAAAAAUGCAUGAGUUAACUAAGGAAAACAUUGAGCGGAUGAAUGCUAAAUAUAAACUUGCUGGAGAUAAGGGUAGAAAACAUGUUGUGUUUGCACCUGGAGAUCUCGUUUGGUUACAUUUGCGUAAGGAUAGAUUUCCCGAUUUGCGCAAAUCAAAGCUAAUGCCACGUGCUGAUGGUCCCUUUAAGGUGUUAGAGAAAAUAAAUGAUAAUGCAUAUAAACUUGAGCUGCCUGCAGAUUUUGGGGUUAGUCCCACUUUUAACAUUGCAGAUUUGAAGCCUUAUUUGGGUGAGGAAGAUGAACUUCCGUCGAGGACGACUUCAUUUCAAGAAGGGGAGGAUGAUGAGGACAUCAAUACAAUUGUUACACCCACAGCCCCUGCUGCUAUACAUACUGGACCAAUUACUAGAGCUCGUGCACGCCAACUAAAUUACCAGGAAACAGACCCUCGUGGUCAGGUUGAUCGUGCUCCGGCGUGGUCAAUAACCUCUCGGAGUUGGUUUAGCGAUUGCUAA
rnacentral:rRNA from 1 species